rnacentral:lncRNA from 1 species
UUUCUGCUGCCUCAGUCAUCUCAUUCUCAUCCAUGGAUCAGGCCAGGGCUUGAGACUCAUAAUUUCAAAGUCCUUUUAACUUUUCUAAGGCAGAAUUGUAUUGCUUUUGGCCAAAGGCCACUCUGGGAUUUACAGAGCAAAGAGCAGUCACAACUCUCUCUUUAGUUUAAGACACAGGGCUCAAAACAGGACACGCGGGGCUGAUUUGGUGGCUCCACCUGGGAUGACCCCCCUGAGCCUCACAGAGCCAGGACCCACGUGGCAGACACGGCCGCAUGGGCUGCUGGACUGAUUUCUCUUCUAGGUUUGCUCUUGGUGCAGUCUCGGCCGUGAUCACUGCCAAGGAGCCCCGAGGUGGCUGCAGGGCCUUGGCAGAGCGUGAGGUGCCCCAGGGCAGUGCCGCAGGGUGGGGGGGCUCAGAGCCCACCACCCGCCUUGCAGGCCAAGAGCCAAAUCUCUCCCUGCCUCAGUUUCCUCACUGACAACAUGGGGAGAGAGUAACAUACCCUGUGUGACUGCUUCGAGGGUGAAAUGAGGUGACGCAGGUGAAGUGUAUGCCUGGCACAGUCAGCUUUCAAUAAACAUGAUUGUUAUUCAGGUUCCUUGAACUCAGGGGUUCCAGAACUUUCCAUCAGACUCCAAUCUCCGGAAUCCUUUGUCACCAGAGUGGGCGUCACAUGGCCAGCACCCUGCACACUCCACGGUGAAGCUUCUGAGACUUGGAAGCAGGAGGUGAGUGGGAACACGUGUGCAUUCAGGAUCAUCAUCAUCCAUGUGGGCUCCCCGAGGGGAGGGAUGGGGCCUCUUCUGUCCACUGUGGUGUCCCAGGGCCUCAGCCAGUGCCUGGGCCACGGUACAGGGCUCAGUCAACCAGGUAGGUCCUGCAGAGGUCUUGGGCUGCAACUUGGGCUGUUAACUCCUUCUGAGCCAGGCAGCCAGUCACUUAGCAGGGGCAGAUAUGUGUGCAUGGGGAUGGGGAGGCAGUGCCAGCAGGAGCUGGGAAUCGGGGCUUGCCCUGCUGCUGGGGCUGGGGCCAGGGUCAGUGCUUUUUGGAAGACUCACUCUUUCUAAGGACUUCUUUAUCUAUUUGCCUCAUCUUCUGCCCUACUUACGCCACCAGCACUUACUGAGCACCUCCUCUGUUCCAGGCACUGUGCUGGGUGCUGUGUUCCCACGGGCAGUGAAACAGACAUGACCACCACACUCCUGGAGGUCGGAGUCCAGCAGGGGAUAGACAUUAAUAAAAUAAUCACUCCAGUAGACAUUCACCCAUCUG